rnacentral:tRNA from 1 species
CGUCAGUAUAGUUUAACCAAA